GACAGAGGUGCCGAGCGUUAGGCGGAAUCACUGGGCUUAAAGCGUGUGUAGGCGGAUUGGUAAGUACAUUGUGAAAUCCCACGGCUUAACCGUGGAACUGCUUGGUAUACUGCUUAUCUUGGGCCACUUAGGGGCUAGCGGAACAAACGGUGGAGCGGUGAAAUGCGUAGAUAUCGUUUGGAACGCCAAUGGUGAAAACAGCUAGCUGGGAGUGUGCCGACGCUGAGACACGAAAGCCAGGGGAGCGAACGGG
rnacentral:rRNA from 1 species